GUCUACGGCCAUACAACCCUGAACGUGCCUGAAGCUAAGCAGGGUCGGGCCUGGUUAGUACUUGGAUAGGAAAGAGCUAGGAUAUAUAUU
ensembl:rRNA 5S_rRNA 5S ribosomal RNA